AACUUCGUGCCAGCAGCCGCGGUAAUACGAAGGGUGCAAGCGUUAAUCGGAAUUACUGGGCGUAAAGCGCGCGUAGGUGGGUCGUUAAGUUGGAUGUGAAAGCCCCGGGCUCAACCUGGGAACUGCAUCCAAAACUGGCGAGCUAGAGUAUGGCAGAGGGUGGUGGAAUUUCCUGUGUAGCGGUGAAAUGCGUAGAUAUAGGAAGGAACACCAGUGGCGAAGGCGACCACCUGGGCUAAUACUGACACUGAGGUGCGAAAGCGUGGGGAGCAAACAGG
rnacentral:rRNA from 1 species